rnacentral:rRNA from 1 species
CUACGGGAGGCAGCAGUGGGGAAUUUUGCGCAAUGGGGGCAACCCUGACGCAGCAACGCCGCGUGAGUGAUGAAGGCUUUCGGGUCGUAAAGCUCUGUCAGAAGGGAAGAAAUGGAGUUGGUUAAUACCCAACUUUCUUGACGGUACCUUCAAAGGAAGCACCGGCUAACUCCGUGCCAGCAGCCGCGGUAAUACGGAGGGUGCAAGCGUUGUUCGGAUUUAUUGGGCGUAAAGCGCGUGUAGGCGGUUUCUUAAGUCUGAUGUGAAAGCCCCGGGCUCAACCCGGGAAGUGCAUUGGAUACUGGGAGACUUGAAUACGGGAGAGGGUAGUGGAAUUCCUAGUGUAGGAGUGAAAUCCGUAGAUAUUAGGAGGAACACCGGUGACGAAGGCGGCUACCUGGACCGAUAUUGACGCUGAGACGCGAAAGCGUGGGGAGCAAACAGGAUUAGAUACCCUCGUAC